UACGAAGGGGGCUAGCGUUGCUCGGAAUCACUGGGCGUAAAGCGCACGUAGGCGGCUUUCUAAGUCAGGGGUGAAAUCCUGGAGCUCAACUCCAGAACUGCCUUUGAUACUGGAGAGCUUGAGUCCGGAAGAGGUGAGUGGAACUCCGAGUGUAGAGGUGAAAUUCGUAGAUAUUCGGAAGAACACCAGUGGCGAAGGCGGCUCACUGGACCGGUACUGACGCUGAGGCGCGAAAGCGUGGGGGAGCAAACGGG
rnacentral:rRNA from 1 species